rnacentral:piRNA from 1 species
UUCCAGCUAGUUAAUUGUGACAUGUAGUGCC